rnacentral:lncRNA from 1 species
GCCAGCAGAAUGCAUUUUGAUCAUUGUACACAAAUGGAACACUACUUUUCAUCUCUCUGGUUGUACAUGAUGUAGAGUCAUACCAUUUGUGCAAUCAUACAUGGUCCUAGGGUAGUGAUGUCCGUAGGUAGUGGAAUAAGGAUGGGAUUUGAAGAACUGCAGAGGCAGAGCCCCAGGGAGCUCCGCCAUUACCUAGAGAAUUCCACACUGUAACCGAGCUGUCGCUCACAGACUCCAGGAGAAGCCAGAGCCUUGGAACUGCAAAGUCAAGGAAGGUCUGACUGAAGACCUGGGUCCGGCCCCUUGUCCUGUUGCUUCCAGAUGAUGUUGCACAUACUGGGCCGGGGAGGCCACCUCACGCCACAGGCUGUGAUUAUACUUGCAUUUCAGUCACUGGUCAUUUAUGUGUGGGAACAAAGGCCAGUGGUCUCAUGGUCUCAUGUUUAAUGGCACUUCUUUUUUUUUUUUUUUUGCAUGUGGGCAGCUGCCUGUAAAUAUUUAUGAAAUGAAUGAUUUUUUUUUUUGGAAAUUUUUAUUGCCUAAAAUAGUUCCCUUUCCCCAAUUCUAGUUGUUUGUUGGUUAUUUUGAAGCCUAAGUUAAAGGAAUCUCUUCAGCUCUGAAGUAGAAGCUUUAGAAGUGAAAGGUCUGGUAAACGUGUAGUGACUGGUGAUGGAUUCCAGUUGGAGGGGCCAUGGAGAUAGGUGUUGAGCAAGGGUUGCUUAGUGUGGGAGAAGCUGCCUGAAGCCAGCGUCCAUGUUCCCUGCAAGUUCCUUUCUCUAGGAAUAUUCAGAGAACAACCUGGGUUUGGUGAGUUC